UUUUUAUGAGAGUUUGAUCCUGGCUCAGGACGAACGCUGGCGGCGUGCCUAAUACAUGCAAGUCGAACGCUUCUUUUUCCACCGGAGCUUGCUCCACCGGAAAAAGAGGAGUGGCGAACGGGUGAGUAACACGUGGGUAACCUGCCCAUCAGAAGGGGAUAACACUUGGAAACAGGUGCUAAUACCGUAUAACAAUCAAAACCGCAUGGUUUUGAUUUGAAAGGCGCUUUCGGGUGUCGCUGAUGGAUGGACCCGCGGUGCAUUAGCUAGUUGGUGAGGUAACGGCUCACCAAGGCCACGAUGCAUAGCCGACCUGAGAGGGUGAUCGGCCACAUUGGGACUGAGACACGGCCCAAACUCCUACGGGAGGCAGCAGUAGGGAAUCUUCGGCAAUGGACGAAAGUCUGACCGAGCAACGCCGCGUGAGUGAAGAAGGUUUUCGGAUCGUAAAACUCUGUUGUUAGAGAAGAACAAGGAUGAGAGUAACUGUUCAUCCCUUGACGGUAUCUAACCAGAAAGCCACGGCUAACUACGUGCCAGCAGCCGCGGUAAUACGUAGGUGGCAAGCGUUGUCCGGAUUUAUUGGGCGUAAAGCGAGCGCAGGCGGUUUCUUAAGUCUGAUGUGAAAGCCCCCGGCUCAACCGGGGAGGGUCAUUGGAAACUGGGAGACUUGAGUGCAGAAGAGGAGAGUGGAAUUCCAUGUGUAGCGGUGAAAUGCGUAGAUAUAUGGAGGAACACCAGUGGCGAAGGCGGCUCUCUGGUCUGUAACUGACGCUGAGGCUCGAAAGCGUGGGGAGCAAACAGGAUUAGAUACCCUGGUAGUCCACGCCGUAAACGAUGAGUGCUAAGUGUUGGAGGGUUUCCGCCCUUCAGUGCUGCAGCUAACGCAUUAAGCACUCCGCCUGGGGAGUACGACCGCAAGGUUGAAACUCAAAGGAAUUGACGGGGGCCCGCACAAGCGGUGGAGCAUGUGGUUUAAUUCGAAGCAACGCGAAGAACCUUACCAGGUCUUGACAUCCUUUGACCACUCUAGAGAUAGAGCUUCCCCUUCGGGGGCAAAGUGACAGGUGGUGCAUGGUUGUCGUCAGCUCGUGUCGUGAGAUGUUGGGUUAAGUCCCGCAACGAGCGCAACCCUUAUUGUUAGUUGCCAUCAUUCAGUUGGGCACUCUAGCAAGACUGCCGGUGACAAACCGGAGGAAGGUGGGGAUGACGUCAAAUCAUCAUGCCCCUUAU
rnacentral:rRNA from 3 species